rnacentral:rRNA from 1 species
GAUAAACGCUGGCGGCGUGCAUAACACAUGCAAGUCGAACGAUGAAGAUUAAAAGAUUUCUUCGGAAUGAACUUAAUUGGAUUAGUGGCGGACGGGUGAGUAACGCGUGAGUAACCUGCCUUGUACAAGGGGAUAGCCGUUGGAAACGACGAAUAAUACCCUAUGACAUCAAAUAAUCGCAUGAUAAUUUGAUCAAAGAUUUAUCGGUAUAAGAUGGACUCGCGUCUGAUUAGCUAGUUGGUAGAGUAAAAGCCUACCAAGGCAACGAUCAGUAGCCGGCUUGAGAGAGUGUACGGCCACAUUGGGACUGAGACACGGCCCAGACUCCUACGGGAGGCAGCAGUGGGGAAAUUUGCACAAUGGGGGAAACCCUGAUGCAGCGACGCCGCGUGAUUUAGAAGGCCUUCGGGUUGUAAAAAUCUUUUGUAUGGGAAGAAAAUGACAGUACCAUACGAAUAAGAACCGGCUAAUUACGUG